rnacentral:rRNA from 1 species
UGCUAGUCGAGCGCUUCCUAGCCAAUUUGGGAGCGCGGCGCACAGCUCAGUAACACGUGGCUAACCUGCCCUUGGGACGAGGACACCCCCGGGAAACUGGGGCUAAUCCUCGAUAGGUGAAGAACUCUGGAAUGAGUCUCCACCCAAAAGACGCUUACGCUAUGCUUGUAGGCGCCGCCCAAGGAUGGGGCCGCGACCGAUCAGGUUGUUGGUGAGGCAACGGCUCACCAAGCCUAUAACCGGUGCGGGCCGUGGGAGCGGGAGCCCGGAGAUGGGCACUGAGACAAGGGCCCAGGCCCUACGGGGCGCAGCAGUCGCGAAAACUUUGCAAUACACGAAAGUGUGACAGGGCUAUCCCGAGUGCCAUCCGCUGAGGAAGGCUUUUACCCAGUGUAGAUAGCUGGGGGAAUAAGGAGAGGGCAAGACUGGUGUCAGCCGCCGCGGUAAUACCAGCUCUCCGAGUGGUGUGGAUGUUUAUUGGGCCUAAAGCAUCCGUAGCUGGCCGGACAAGUCCCCUGUUAAAUCCACCGAUUCAAUCGUUGGUGUGCGGGGGAUACUGUUCGGCUAGGGGACGGGAGAGGCAGACGGUAUUUCCGGGGUAGGGGUGAAAUCCUAUAAUCCCGGGAAGACCACCAGUGGCGAAGGCUGUCUGCUAGAACGCGCCCGACGGUGAGGGAUGAAAGCUGGGGGAGCGAACCGGAUUAGAUACCCGGGUAGUCCCAGCUGUAAACGAUGCAGCUAGGUGUUUGGGCGGCCACGUGCCGCUCUAGUGCCGCAGGAAGUCGUUAAGCCUGCCGCCUGGGGAGUACGGCCGCAAGGCUGAACUUAA